rnacentral:rRNA from 1 species
UAGGGAAUCUUCCGCAAUGGACGAAAGUCUGACGGAGCAACGCCGCGUGAGUGAUGAAGGUUUUCGGAUCGUAAAACUCUGUUGUUAGGGAAGAACAAGUACCGUUCGAAUAGGGCGGUACCUUGACGGUACCUAACCAGAAAGCCACGGCUAACUACGUGCCAGCAGCCGCGGUAAUACGUAGGUGGCAAGCGUUGUCCGGAAUUAUUGGGCGUAAAGCGCGCGCAGGCGGUUUCUUAAGUCUGAUGUGAAAGCCCCCGGCUCAACCGGGGAGGGUCAUUGGAAACUGGGGAACUUGAGUGCAGAAGAGGAGAGUGGAAUUCCACGUGUAGCGGUGAAAUGCGUAGAGAUGUGGAGGAACACCAGUGGCGAAGGCGACUCUCUGGUCUGUAACUGACGCUGAGGCGCGAAAGCGUGGGGAGCGAACAGG